GUCAUAGUAUGCAUGUGUUCCUUGCCUUAAUAGUUGUACACACUCAAUAUGAAAAUACAUGUGCAUUUGCUCAGAAAAGAAAGUAAUAGAAUAAAUCAAAUGCAAAAAACAAGUUUUUUUUUUUUUUUGUCAAAAUAUUUCCCUCCCCCCAACUUAAACAUUGCAUUGUCCUCAAUGUAAAAAAAAUGCAAGAAAACUAUAUAUGAGAGACAAUAGAGAAAAUAAUAGAGAGAAGAAGAAUACCAUGAGCUGUUGAUUUUCAGAAAAGAAGACCUACAAAAUAAGAAGAAAACUAGAAAUAAAAGAAAAAAAUAAUAAUUCUAACUAAUAUACACAUACCUUGGCCUUCAUGUUCAGUCAUAAGAAGGGGCCCCCAAGGAAAAGGAGUCCUCUUCAUCUGCAAAAUUUUCAAGAAAAGGUUUUAAUCUGUGUCCAUUAACCUUAAAAAUUUUGCCAUCCUGUGGAUUCUCAAUUUCAAUUGCCCCGUGUGGAAAAACAGUUUUUACAAUGAAAGGACCUGUCCAUCUUGAUCGUAACUUUCCAGGAAACAGAUGUAAGCGAGAGUCAUACAAAAGAACU
rnacentral:lncRNA from 1 species